GGGCCCAUAGCUCAGCGGUAGAGCAGGGGACUCAUAAUCCCUUGGUCGCUGGUUCGAAUCCAGCUGGGCCCACCA
rnacentral:tRNA from 1 species